rnacentral:rRNA from 1 species
UGCAGUCGAGCGACUGAUUAGAAGCUUGCUUCUAUGACGUUAGCGGCGGACGGGUGAGUAACACGUGGGCAACCUGCCUGUAAGACUGGGAUAACUUCGGGAAACCGAAGCUAAUACCGGAUAGGAUCUUCUCCUUCAUGGGAGAUGAUUGAAAGAUGGUUUCGGCUAUCACUUACAGAUGGGCCCGCGGUGCAUUAGCUAGUUGGUGAGGUAACGGCUCACCAAGGCAACGAUGCAUAGCCGACCUGAGAGGGUGAUCGGCCACACUGGGACUGAGACACGGCCCAGACUCCUACGGGAGGCAGCAGUAGGGAAUCUUCCGCAAUGGACGAAAGUCUGACGGAGCAACGCCGCGUGAGUGAUGAAGGCUUUCGGGUCGUAAAACUCUGUUGUUAGGGAAGAACAAGUACAAGAGUAACUGCUUGUACCUUGACGGUACCUAACCAGAAAGCCACGGCUAACUACGUGCCAGCAGCCGCGGUAAUACGUAGGUGGCAAGCGUUAUCCGGAAUUAUUGGGCGUAAAGCGCGCGCAGGCGGUUUCUUAAGUCUGAUGUGAAAGCCCACGGCUCAACCGUGGAGGGUCAUUGGAAACUGGGGAACUUGAGUGCAGAAGAGAAAAGCGGAAUUCCACGUGUAGCGGUGAAUGCGUAGAGAUGUGGAGGAACACCAGUGGCGAAGGCGGCUUUUUGGUCUGUAACUGACGCUGAGGCGCGAAAAGCGUGGGGGAGCAAACAGGAUUAGAUACCCUGGUAGUCCACGCCGUAAACGAUGAGUGCUAAGUGUUAGAGGGUUUCCGCCCUUUAGUGCUGCAGCUAACGCAUUAAGCACUCCCCCUGGGGAGUACGGUCCAAGACC